AUUGAACGCUGGCGGCAGGCCUAACACAUGCAAGUCGGGCGGAUGAAGGGAGCUUGCUCCUGGAUUCAGCGGCGGACGGGUGAGUAAUGCCUAGGAAUCUGCCUGGUAGUGGGGGAUAACGUCCGGAAACGGGCGCUAAUACCGCAUACGUCCUGAGGGAGAAAGUGGGGGAUCUUCGGACCUCACGCUAUCAGAUGAGCCUAGGUCGGAUUAGCUAGUUGGUGGGGUAAAGGCCUACCAAGGCGACGAUCCGUAACUGGUCUGAGAGGAUGAUCAGUCACACUGGAACUGAGACACGGUCCAGACUCCUACGGGAGGCAGCAGUGGGGAAUAUUGGACAAUGGGCGAAAGCCUGAUCCAGCCAUGCCGCGUGUGUGAAGAAGGUCUUCGGAUUGUAAAGCACUUUAAGUUGAGAGGAAGGGCAGUAAGUUAAUACCUUGCUGUUUUGACGUUACCAACAGAAUAAGCACCGGCUAACUUCGUG
rnacentral:rRNA from 1 species